AACGAACGCUGGCGGCAUGCCUAAUACAUGCAAGUCGAACGAUAUCUUCGGAUCUAGUGGCGCACGGGUGCGUAACGCGUGGGAAUCUGCCCUUGGGUUCGGAAUAACGUCGGGAAACUGACGCUAAUACCGGAUGAUGACGUAAGUCCAAAGAUUUAUCGCCCAAGGAUGAGCCCGCGUAGGAUUAGCUAGUUGGUGAGGUAAAGGCUAACCAAGGCUACGAUCCUUAGCUGGUCUGAGAAGAUGCUCAGCCACACUGGAGCUGAGACACGGCCCAGACGCCUACGGGAGGCAGCAGUAGGGAAUAUUGGAAUAUGGGGUCAACCCUGAACCAGCACUGCCGCGUGAGUGAUGAAGGCCUUAGGGUUGUAAAGCUCUUUUACCCGGGAUGAUAAUGACAGUACCGGGAGAAUAAGCCCCGGCUAACUCCGUGCCAGCCGCCGCCGUAA
rnacentral:rRNA from 1 species